rnacentral:rRNA from 1 species
GAAUCGGCUGCGAGUCCUUUUAAAUAUAUAGAACUGUACUUCUCAUGCUUGAAAAGCGUGACGAUGCUAGUUUGAAGACUGUUCGUGUGGCCAGUCGGCGACCUGUUUGGAAACUGUGACUAUAUGAAGAAGUGUUCGAUUCGCGGUGUGAUUGGCUUCGGCUGGACUACGUUUAUUGGAUGUUUUUUCGGUUAUGGUAGUACGAACGGGUGAACCGUAGCUAUGCAUGUGACUGGUUUUCUUACCUGUGUUGUUGCUGCGAAGUAAAGCGUCAACUUCGGUUGUUGAGGGUCAACCUAUUUGGGAAAUGUGAAGUAAAGCUUCGGCUGCACUUUACCUCAAACGGACCUGAUAUUAGGCAAGAUUACCCGCUGAACUUAAGCAUAUCAAUAAGCGGAGGA